GUGUGUGUCUAUGAGCAUGUGUGCACGUGUGUGAGGGCGUGCAUGUGUGCCUGUGAGCGUGUGUGUGCACAUGUGAGGGUGUGCAUGCGUGUGCCUGUGAGCAUGUGUGUGCAUGUGUGUGAGGGUGUGCGUGUGUGCCUGUGUGUGUGUGCAUGUGAGGGUGUGCGUGUGUGUGUGCCUGAGAGCAUGUGUGUGAGGGUGUGCAUGCGUGUGUGCCUGUGAGCGUGUGUGUGCAUGUGUGUGAGGGUGUGCACUGACAUUUCCUGCACAUGCAGACAUCCCCUCAGUGUGGCCUGCCCCAUGCCGGGCAUGGACAUUAGGACUCAGAAGGACUGGGAGUUUCUGCACCAGGGCAUCACUCCUGCUGAUGCCCAUCACUGCAUUUGCUCUGUGUGGGUGUCAGAUGCUGCCCUGUCUCCAGCUUGGCCUCUACUGCUCUAGCUUCCAGUAGGCUCCUAAAUCAUCCAGUGGCUUGGGGAGGGGGAUUCCAGAUGGAACUUGGGUGUGGCUUUAAGAGCCCAGGAUUCAGAGCUUCAGAAAAGGGAUCCCAAGCCAAUGUCCAAAUUCUUGCAGGGGAAGCAAGUCCACUGGCCUCCAGGGUGCAGGCAGCACCUGGGUCCCUUGCUUUGGUGAACAAUGUGUUAUUACACUGCCUCCUUAGCCAGAUGAGACAAUACAAAUUCCUCAAAGCAGCAGUCAAAAGCUAUAAUCUGAUUUUGCAACAUCCAGGAGCAGAUGCUCUUUGGGAGGAAUAAAACACUGAGAUGAUGGGGGAAGGAAUGCAUUGGGUUAGUGUUUGCCUUUUUAUGCUCUUGGCUUCCAAACACUUGAGGUUGAAGCAUGCCACAGAGAGCAGAAGCAGCUGGGUGAAGCCCUGGACAGGCACAUUCCUGAGCUGAGUCGGGUGGAUAUGGGAACAUGCUGGCCCCCUUGCUCACCGGGCGACUGGAGAGCAGAUGGUGUUCCCAGCACAUCUUCACCAGAUCUGUUCCAGAGAGAGGGAUCUUCUAGAACUCAGCCAUCCUCGCACUGCUAAGCACAGUGAUGGGUGAACAGCUUGGUCCUGCCCAGCAUCUCCCGGGGGCCUGGCCCAUGUAUGUCUUUGUGUGCACCGAGUGUAGGCCGUAGUAUCAAUGUGUACAGUUGUACAGCUCAAUGACAGAUCAGCGCUUUCAGAUAGCCCUCUAAUCAAAACCCACAAACACCAGAAUGGCCACAACCCAACUCCUCAGCAGGGGCUCAGCUACAGCCGUUGACGCCCUCUCCAGACCCUGAGCCCUGCCACAUCCUGGGGGCCCAAGAUGACGUCCUCCCCAUACCCUGAGCCCUGCCACAUCCUGGGGGCCCGAGAUGACGUCCUCCCCAGACCCUGAGCCCUGCCACGUCCUGGGGGCCCGAGAUGACGUCCUCCCCAGACCCUGAGCCCUGCCACGUCCUGGGGGCCCGAGAUGACGUACUCCCCAGACCCUGAGCCCUGCCACGUCCUGGGGGCCCGAGAUGACGUCCUCCCCAGACCCUGAGCCCUGCCACGUCCUGGGGGCCCGAGAUGACGUCCUCCCCAGACCCUGAGCCCUGCCACGUCCUGGGGGCCCGAGAUGACGUCCUCCCCAGACCCUGAGCCCUGCCACGUCCUGGGGGCCCGAGAUGACGUCCUCCCCAGACCCUGAGCCCUGCCACGUCCUGGGGGCCUGAGAUGACGUCCUCCCCAGACCCUGAGCCCUGCCACAUCCUGGGGGCCCGAGAUGACAUACUCCCCAGACCCUGAGCCCUGCCACGUCCUGGGGGCUAGAGAUGACAUCCUCCCCAGACCCUGAGCCCUGCCACGUCCUGAGGGCUCGAGAGGCUCUUGCUAGUCAUUGUGCCAUGGAUGCCCCAACAGCACAGGCCGUGCUUGGUGUAAAUCAUUCUUUGGUUAUUACAGAGACCUGGCAUUUACCCUAAAAACUCAUCCCGGUCUUCUCUCCGAUGGCCC
rnacentral:lncRNA from 1 species